rnacentral:lncRNA from 1 species
GUGGAAACUUGUACGCAAUUAUUUAUGAGGUUGGGAUUGGGUUGAAGAAGGUAGUAUGACACUCAUGUUUCAGGAAUGUUGAAAAACCAAAUUGUGAUUUGGACCUUAUGGUGAAAGUGCCUUCUCAUCUGUAGGUAGACCAUAACUUGACAGAGGAUGGGGCGUUAUCCAUCAGAUUUGCAACAACAGAUUCAUCGACUAGGGUGCCAGAAACGCAAAGAAGAAACAUGUCUGAAAGAGUGGCUGAGCAUGCGUUAAACAAAUGAAUCACUUACACUUGAGAGAAACACUGUGGAAAAAUCUGGAUGUUCUGCUCCUAAUGCCAUAUUAUUCCUUGCUGGCGAAGAGAAAGGAGAAGAGGCCUGCAGAGGGGGAAUGUCACUUGGAACAUCAGCAUCUGUCAUCAUGGCACUUCCAGAAGCUCAGACAUGAAAUGGUUUGA